GGGCCGUUAGCUCAGUUGGCUAGAGCGCUUGCAUGACGCGCAAGAGGUCGGGGGUUCGACUCCCUCACGGCCCA
rnacentral:tRNA from 1 species